GGGAAAUUGUAAGGUAAGCGCUUGAAAAAGAAUUAGCUUUGUACAGCGUUACGACUCGUCUUGUUUGUUGGGAGCAAGGCAUGCGAUCAGAGCGGAAGCUUUGGGUGUACAUCGUAACGUAAAAGGAGGUCUCUUCUUGGGCCAGAGAAGCAGAUGGGGAAACAGAAGAAGGGCCUGCCUCAGGGGAGCGUGCUUGCUUCAUCCAUGUUGAACAUUUACACCAAUGAUCAGCCACUGCCAGAAGGGACAGAGAGUGUCAUCUAUGCUGACGAUUGUGCCAUCACCACCCAAGCAGGGAGCUCUGAAAUGGUAGAACAGAAGCUCCCUGAAGCUUUAGGUGCUCUUACUGCCUCUUACAGGGAAAACCAGCUGAUUCCUAAUCCAUCUAAAACACAGACGUCUAAAACACACACACCUUAAGAACAGACAAGCAUCUCCAGCUCUGAGUAUCACCUGGGAAGGAAUCCCACUGGAGCACUGCAGCACACCCAAAUACGUGGGAGUUACCCUGGACCACGUUCUGACCUAUAAGAAGCACUGCUUGACUACAAAGCAAAUAAUGGGAGCAAGAAACAGUAUCCUACGAAGGCUGACUGGCACAACAUGGGCAUCACAACCAGAUACAAUGAAGACAUCUUCCCUUGCGCUUUGCUUCUCUGCUGCUGAAUACACCUACCCAGUAUGGAACACAUCUCACCAUGUUACAACAGUGGAUGUGGCUCUUAAUGAGACAUGCCACAUAAUCACAGGAUGCCUACACCCCAAACCACUGGAUAUAUUAUACUGCUUAUCCGGUAUUGCACCAACUGACAUCCGCUGGGAAGUAGCAGGCAGUAAUGAAAGGAACAAGGCAUGGACAUCUCCCGUCUAUCCUCUGUUUGGAUAUUAGCCAGCAUGCCAACGCCUUAAAUCAAGAAAUAACUUCCUAAGAUCUACAGAGAUAAUCGCUGAGAUGCCUCAGCAAGCAAGAGUCCAAAAGUGGCAGGGUAAAACCCAGAACCUCAAGCCAUGGUUGAUACCGGAUGAGAGACUCCCUCCUGGGCACUUGGAAGGUGCUUAAUAGACUACACUCUGGUCCCAUGAGAUGCAGAACCAGCCUCAAGAAAUGGGGCCACUAAAUAGAGUCCACAACAUGCGAGUGUGGAGAAGAGCAAACCACAGACCACCUAUGACAAUGCAGCCUGAGCCCUGCCACAUGCACAGUGGAGGACCUUCUUAUACCAACACCAGAGGCAUUCCAAGUGGCCAGCUACUGGUCAAAGCACAUUUAGUUUAAUGACAAGUUUUUAAAUUUGUUUGUGUUUUUAAAUACAUUACAACUGUGCCCUUGGUUUGCUUCUGACACAAUUAAUCAAUAAAUAAACAAAUAAUAUUAAAGCAAUUUGACACCACUUGAUCUGCCACCGUUCAAUGUUAUGGGAGUUGUAGUUUGACAAGGCCUUUGGCUGCUGCCUCAAUAAACUAGAACUUCUAGGAUUCUAUAACAUUCUGCUGCGUGCAGAUAAAAAGUAAAUGCAACUAAUUUUCCUAACUCUAUUUUUUCCGUGUAAAAUAAUAUCACUGAACUUAGUUUUGUUCAAAAUACAUCGGAUGAAGAAAACUACUUGACAUCCAUUACUAAAAAAACCCCCAAAAAGCAUGACAAUUCAUUGGGUUGCUAUAAAGGCUCCUGCAUUUUUAACAAAGCAUAAUCCUGCACCUUUUGAGACCGCCUCGGAAACCUCAGAGUGCACAGACCGGUUUCAUUUGCAUACAGCCCAUGAGGCACCGCAGGAGGACUUCCGACUCGAUUUGACAGGGACUAUCUUACGGCAGGGCCGGAGAAGCAGAUGGGAAAACAGAAGAAGGGCCUGCCUCAGGGGAGCGUGCUUGCUCCAUCCAUGUUGAACAUUUACACCAAUGAUCAGCCACUGCCAGAAGGGACAGAGAGUUUCAUCUAUGCUGACGAUCGUGACAUCACCGCCCAGGCAGGGAGCUCUGAAAUGGUGAAACAGAAGGUCUCUUAAGCUUUAGGUGCUCUUACUGCCUAUUAUUAUUAGGAGCUCUGGUGGCGAAGUGCGUUAAAGCACUGAGCUGGAGAACGAAAGGUCCCAGGUUCAAAUUUUGGGAGCGGAAUGAGCGCCCGCUGUUAACUCCAGCUCCUGCCGACCUAGCAGUUCGAAAACAUGCCAAUGUGAGUAGAUCAAUAGGUACCGCUCUGGCGGGAAGUUAACAGCGCUCCAUGCAGUCAUGCCAACCACAUGACCUUGGAGGUGUCUACGGACAACGCUGGCUGUUCGGCUUAGAAACAGAGAUGAGCACCAACCCCCAGAGUCGGUCACGACUGGACUUAACAUCAGGGGAAAACCUUUACCUUUUACUGCCUAUUACAGGGAAAACCAGCUGAUUCUUAAUCCAUUUAAAAUACAGAAGUGUGCUUUUCACCUUAAGAACAAACAAGUAUCUCCAGCUCUGAGGAUCACCUGGGAAGGAAUCCCACUGGAGCAUUGCAGCACACCCAAAUACGUGGGAGUUAUCCUGGACCACAUUCUGGCCUAUAAGAAGCACUGCUUGACUGUAAAGCAAAUAAUGGGCUCAAAAAACAAUCUCACAUGAAAGCUGACUGGCACAACCUGGGGAUCACAACCAGAUACAGAUAAGACAUCUUCAUUAGCGCUUUGCUUCUCUGCUGCUGAAUAUGCAUGCCCAGUAUGGAACACAUCUCACCACGUUACAACAGUGGAUGUGGCUCUUAAUGAGACAUGCCACAUUAUCACAGGAUGUCUAUGCCCCACACCACUGGAUAAAUUAUACUGUUUAGCCUGCAUUGCACCACUUGACAUCCACCGGGAAGUAGCAGGCAUUAAUAAUGAAAGGACCAAGGCCUGGACAUCUCCCGCCCAUCCUCUGUUUGGAUAUCAGCCAGCACGUCAAUGCCUGAAAUCAAGAAAUAGCUUCCUAAGAUCUACAGAGAUACUUGCAGGAACACCUCAGCAAGCAAGAGUCCAAAAAUGGCAGGCUAAAACACGGAUCCUCAAGCCAUGGUUGAUAGUGGAUGAGAGAUUCCCUCCUGGGCACACAGAAGACUGGGCGACUUGGAAGGUGCUUAAUAGACUGCACUUUGGCCCCAUGAGAUGUAGAACCAGCCUCAAGAAUUGGGGCCACUAAGUGGAGUCCACGACAUGCGAGUGUGGAGAAGAGCAAACCACAGACCACCUAUGACAAUGCAGCCUGAGCCCUGCCACAUGCACAGUGGAGGACCUUCUUAUAGCAACACCAGAGGCAUUCAAAGCAGCCAGCUACUGGUCAAAGGACAUUUAGUAUAAUGACAAGUUUUUAACUUUUUUGUGUUUUUAAAUACAUUACAACUGUAUCCUUGGUUUGCUUCUGACAUGAUACAUAAACAAAUAAACAAAAAAAAAAACCCCAAAGUGUAUUAAGGCAAUUUGACUCCACUUGAUUUACCACAGCUCAAUGCUAUGGGAGUUGUAGUUUGACAAGACCUUUAGCUGCUUCCUCAAUAAACUACAACGUCUAGGAUUCUAUAACAUUCAACUCUGGGCAAAUAAAAAGUAAAUGCAACCAACUGUUUUCCCAAGUCUAUUUCUUUCCACGUAAAAUAAUAUCACUGAAGUUAGUGUUGUUCAAAAUACAUUGGCUGCAGAAAACUACUUGAGCAUCUAUUGCACACACACAAAAAAAGGUAUGACCAUUCAUUGGGUGCAUUUUUCACAAAGCAUAACCCUGCACCUUUUGAGACCGCCUCGGAAACCUCAGAGCGCGGAGGCCGGGUUUAUUUGCAUAUAGCCCAUGAUGCCCCGCGUGAGGACUUCCGACUGGAUUUGAUAGCGGGAAUCGUAAGGGAAGCACUUGAAAAAAAAAGCAGCUUUUGAAAGCGAUGCGACUCUUGUUUGUUCGGAGCAAGGCAUACGAUCGGAGCGGAAGCUUUAAGUAAACAUCCUAACGUAAAAGGAGGUGGCCCAUGAGUUUGAUAUAGCUUUGUCAACCAGAUCGUCGGAUUGUUCUUAGUCUGGGACCUAUCCCAGCAAUUUUUGGAGGCCUGCCGUCGGGCUAAUAUUGUACUGUAAAGGCAGUAUAUAUGCUGGCAGUAUCUGUCUUUAUCCUGGGCGAUAUCCUUGUAGAUGGCCAAUUUGGCCCUUGGGCUCCGAGUUCCCUGGGUACCCGUAUUGGAAACUACAACUCCCAGGUCCGAGAUGGUAAAGCAUCAUGGUGUCAAGAGAAGGGUUAUUAGUAGGUGGUGAAGCUCCAGUGAGGAAAAGGGCAGAACUGGGCAAGGUAAACAUUCAUACUUGCUGAAGAAACUUUGGUCACUGUAGCCAGCUUUUCCAAGCCACGUUUCCAAGCUCUGGAAAGGGUUAAACCAUUUCUGCAAAGUUAGAGACGUGGCCAAGGACAGCCCUUGUCAAUCACAGAAGACAAGAUCUAGCUGAAUGUCAUGAUGGCAUGAUGACAACAGUUUUGGACAGCAAUGGCUCCCAAAGCGACCAUUUGAGAUGCAGGUGGAAUGCCAGGAGAAAAUGCUGCUGGAACAUGGCCAUACAGUCUGGAAACCACACAAGAACCCAGGACCUAUUUUUUCUCAUAACUUGAGGACUGCCGCUACAGUGCUGCUUGUAAUAUAUUCUUCAAGGAAAUGUUGCAAAAUUCAGGUUCCUUCCCAAAGUCCACCACUGGCAUAAGAACAACCAUACCUUUUGCUAUAUCAUAGUUAUCGCUUAUUACCUUUUAGAUGGUAAUAUAUACACAUAUCACAAUCAUGGGGACCAAAAAGGUGGUAAGAUUGACAGUAGGAAGCUAUGUGCCUUUCCCCCAGUUGAAUGAGUCAAGAGUUAUUGGCAGAGUUGUAAAUUACUACGGUAGUUGGAAACAACCUGAGGGCAACCAGUUGCUUCUUUAAAAAUCCAGUGCUGGCUCAGUGGCUUUGCGCCUUGCUAUUUGCCCCCAUUCUGCUCUCAUUGUGUAUUUGCAAAUAAAUGCUGCAUAGAUACUGCAUAUCUCUCAAAGCCCUUUCAAGAUACACAGUCUAAGGCCACCUCUCAGAAUGGCUGAAACACAGCCAAAAAUAAAAUAUAUCACUAGAAAUGGGAACGAAUAAACAGAGGGCUUAAAUCCCUUCCUCAGCAUUCGGUUUAAAGAACACAGUGAUGCUCCUAAUAGUCAUGUUCUAUCUCUGCUAUUUAAAAAACCUCCAGAAAAGUUUAUAUGAAUCCCAUUUGUUUAUUUAUCCUUCAAAACAAGAACAAUUGUUAAGCAACAAUGUAGUCAUCUGUACAAUAUCUCAAUUUAAGUUUCAUUUGGAAAUUGGAAUGGCUCCAUUUAGUUGGAAGUUUAAUGGUGAGUCCAUACCAUGUCCAUAAUUGCGAUAAAUUAUACUGAGCUACAAAUGCAAAAAAGGAUUACCAGGGAUGGACAACUUUCAGAAGUCAGAGAAUUCAGAAGUCAGGGAAGUCAUGCUACCCCUCUAUUCUGCCUUGGUCAGACCACACCUGGAAUACUGUGUCCAAUUCUGUACACCACAGUUGAAGGGAGAUGUUGACAACCUGGAAUGUGUCCAGAGGAGGACGAUCAAGGGUCUGGAGAACAAGCCCGAUGAGGAGCGGCUUAAAGAGCUGGGCAUGUUUUGUGGGUGUUAUUAUUGCUAUUUUAAUUGUAAGGUUUUUACUUGUUUAAUAAUGUGUUUACUAUACUGCUUAUGUAUUGUAUGUUGUUUGUACCUAUUGUUGGAAACCGCCCUGAGUCCAUUUGGGGAGAUAGAGUGGUAUAUAAAUAAAGUUUUACUUACUUACAUGUUUAGCCUGCAGAAGAGAAGGCUGAGAGGAGAUAUGAUAGUCAUGUAUAAAUAUGUGAGGGGAAUUCAUAGGGAGGAGGGAGCAAGCUUGUUUUCUGUUGCCCUGGAGACUAGGAUGCGGAACAACGGCUUCAGACUACAGGAAAGGAGAUUCCACCUGAACAUUAGGAAGAUCUUCCGCACUGUGAGAGCUGUUCAGCAGUGGAACUCUCUGUGCCGGAGAGUAGUGGAGGCUCCUUCUUUAGAGGAUUUUAAGCAGAGGCUGGAUGGCCAUCUGUCGGGGGUGCUUUGAAUGUUAUUUUUCUGCUUCUUGGCAGGGGGUUGGACUGGAUGGCCCAUGACAUCUCCUCCAUCUCUAUGAUUUUAUGAUUCUAUUAAUUGUUUUGCAUUUAUCCUUAGCCCAAGCUCUUUGGUGGUUCACACUACCAACACAUAAAAUAUUUUGCUACAGAACAUUUAAUAUAUAUAUCAUCGGGUUUCAUUGCCAAGAUUUAUUCAGAGGUGCUUUUGCCCUUGCCUUCAUCUGAGGCUGAGAGAGUGUGACUUGCCCAAGGUUACUCAAUGGGUCUCCAUGGCUGAGCGGAGAUUUGAAUGCUGGUCUUCCAACAUACAAACCACUAUAACCAUACUAUAAACCACUAUACCACACUGGCUCUUGCAGUUGGAGGAAUACCUGCAAUGACAUUUCUACAUUGGCAGGGGACAGUAAAACCUGCAAAACAGUUGUGAGCUCCAUUCAUCCUAUAGACUACAUUUUGUGGCCAAGGUCCCAUGAUCCUGCUUAAUAUAUGGCUGUACAAGCAAUAGAAUGAAGUACAUGUUCCAUUUUACUGCACAAAUAGUAAUUUUAUAUGAUAUGAGAUAGAGGGCUGAGUUUUAUAAACAGUAAGUACUGCAUUUCCAGAAAGGAAGGCUUCAAUCAGACAGGGUUUUCUCACCCAUUUCACAUUCUCCAGCCCUGUUCGGAACAAGCAAUUUAGUGGCCACUAAGCAGUACUGUUGCUGUUUCUGAAACAGUAUAAUUUCAAUUUAUGCAACUUAGUAAAACAAAAAGUCCCUCCUUUUAACUCUCACAGGCCAACAUGAGAUAUUUAAUCCCUUACAUUCAGAAUUGCUUUCAGAAUCCAUUCAAGAAUCAGCAGAAAUGUCAGUAUUCGCAUUCCUCUAGUUUUUACAUAUGAUGUGCAAUUGACUAUUGGAAUGGUCCAGUCUACGUUUGUGGAUCACAUAAUUAAUUGUGAUGGUAUUGUUUUUAAUUUUUUUUAUUGUUGUUAGUUGUUUUUAUAAUUCCAUUUUAAAUGUUUAUUUUAUUAUGCUCUGUUUUUAAAGGCAUCGAAUAGUUGCCGAUGUGUAAAGCUACCUUGAGUCCCCUUCGGCGUUGAGAAAGACGGGGUAGAAGUGUUGUGAAAAAAUAAAUAACUAGGCCUCCUUCCACACAGGUGUAUAAAAUCCACAUUGAACUGGAUUAUAUAGCAGGGUGGACCCAGUUCAAAGCAGAUCUUGUGGAUUAUCUGCCUUGUUAUUCUGGGUUAUAUGGCUGUAUGGAAGGACCCUAGGAUAUGUGUGUUCUAACAACAUCCGAGGCAAAGGUUAAUAAGGAAAAUGAAGACGAAUGAAGAAGUUUUAGAAGUUGCAGCUGUUUACUUUUGUCAAUAAAACCAUUUUAUUUUUCUCCUUUGUCAUGGUGAACAAACCACUAUUUUUGCCUUUAGGAUACAUGCCAUAAAGUUUUGGGUCAAAAAGACACAAACAAUAAUUAAGCAAAAGAGAAGUAAUAUACUUUUGGGAUCAGGUAGUUGACCACAUUCAGGAGAAAUCAAAAUUUCUUCCAUUGUGGUGAGGACAUCCAAGAGAAGUUAUUUCCAGUGUUAACCCUAACCACUAACUCUAACCACAACUCUAGCCCUUAAUUUUUUUUUUUUACUAAGGUCAGAAAAUACCCACAGCUCACUCAAUACAAAGUUAUUUUGGUUUGGUUUUGUGAUGUCAGGAAAUGCUAGCUGAGCAGAGCUAGAUUUAUGUUUUCAGCUCAUUUCUGCACUCUCAAUGAAUGUGACAGCAAAAGUGGUCUCUUUGUUUAUUAGUCACAAGCAUUUCAAAACAUGUAUUUGUGUAAUAUUGUAUUUACAGGCAGUCUCCAGGUUACAAACAUCCGUCUUACAAAUGACUAAAAGUUAAGAACAGGAGUGAGACAACAGAAGUGAGAGGAAAUCUACCCUUAGGAAGGGAAAUUCACUCCUGAAACAGUUAUCAUGGGGAAAAGGUGAAGCUUUAUCACCAAUCCUUGCUUCCACUGAGAUGGGAUUUUUUGACAGAUCUAUUUGUACAAUUCAUUGUAUAUUCAUUAAUGUGCUGGUAUGUUUGGAAACUGUGAAUUAAUCAUGUUGGGGACAGCAGUUUGUGGAUCUUCUUUGCCAUUAAGUAAGUUCUAAGAGGAAUAUAACUCACCAAUCAACAGGAGGGUUGUUCAAUGCCUGUAUCCUGGAUCUAUUUAGACCUAUUUAUCAACUUUAACCAAUAAAAUUGUGGCCUGUUUUUGUCCAA